rnacentral:rRNA from 1 species
GAUGAACGCUGGCGGCGUGCCUAAUACAUGCAAGUCGAGCGAACAGACGAGGAGCUUGCUCCUUUGACGUUAGCGGCGGACGGGUGAGUAACACGUGGGUAACCUACCUAUAAGACUGGGAUAACUUCGGGAAACCGGAGCUAAUACCGGAUAAUAUUUCGAACCGCAUGGUUCGAUAGUGAAAGAUGGCUUUGCUAUCACUUAUAGAUGGACCUGCGCCGUAUUAGCUAGUUGGUAAGGUAACGGCUUACCAAGGCAACGAUACGUAGCCGACCUGAGAGGGUGAUCGGCUACACUGGAACUGAGACACGGUCCAGACUCCUACGGGAGGCAGCAGUAGGGAAUCUUCCGCAAUGGGCGAAAGCCUGACGGAGCAACGCCGCGUGAGUGAUGAAGGUCUUCGGAUCGUAAAACUCUGUUAUUAGGGAAGAACAAACGUGUAAGUAACUGUGCACGUCUUGACGGUACCUAAUCAGAAAGCCACGGCUAACUACGUG